CGUUAGAGUUUGAUCCUGGCUCAGGAUAAACGCUGGCGGCGUGCUUAACACAUGCAAGUCGAACGCUCUUGGGAGGGCAACUUUCCAAGGGAGUGGCGGACGGGUGAGGAACACGUGGGUUAUCUACCUUGAGGUGAGGAAUACCGGCGAGAAAUCGCCGACAAUACCGCAUACGUUUGGAGACAAACAAAGUCCCGGCAACGGGACGCCACAAGAUGAGCCUGCGCCCGAUUAGCUAGUUGGUGAGGUAAAAGCUUACCAAGGCGACAAUCGGUAGCUGGUCUGAGAGGACGAUCAGCCACACUGGGAUUGAGAACGGCCCAGACUCCUACGGGGGGCAGCAGUGAGGAAUUUUCGUCAAUGGGGGAAACCCUGAACGAGCAACGCCGCGUGCAGGAAGAAGGUUUUCGGAUCGUAAACUGCUUUUCUUGGGGAAGAGAACGGACGGUACCCAAGGAAGAAGCCCCGGCUAACUACGUGCCAGCAGCCGCGGUAAUACGUAGGGGGCGAGCGUUGUCCGGAUUUAUUGGGCGUAAAGGGCACGCAGGCGGUCUUGCGCGUUUCGAGUGACAGGUGAUGGCUUAACCAUGACAGGCCUCGGAAGACGGCAAGACUUGAGAGCUUCAGAGGGACGCGGAAUUCCAGGUGGAGCGGUGAAAUGCGUAGAGAUCUGGAAGAACACCAAAGGCGAAGGCAGCGUUCUGGGAAGUAUCUGACGCUCAGGUGCGAAAGCUAGGGGAGCGAACGGGAUUAGAUACCCCGGUAGUCCUAGCCGUAAACGAUGACCACUAGACGUGGGGAGGUAUCGACCCCUUCCGUGUCGCAGCUCACGCAUGAAGUGGUCCGCCUGGGGAGUACGGUCGCAAGAUUAAAACUCAAAGGAAUUGACGGGGACCCGCACAAGCAGCGGAGCGUGUGGUUUAAUUCGAUGCAACGCGAAGAACCUUACCAAGACUUGACAUGGACUUGCACCAGCCGUAAUGGGCUGUCCCGGAAACGGGCGGGUUCACAGGUGCUGCAUGGCUGUCGUCAGCUCGUGUCGUGAGAUGUUGGGUUAAGUCCCGCAACGAGCGCAACCCCUAUCGUUAGUUGAAUGAUCUAGCGAGACUGCCACGCUAAACGUGGAGGAAGGUGGGGAUGACGUCAAGUCAGCACGGCCCUUACGUCUUGGGCUACACACACGCUACAAUGGUCGGGACAAAGAGUUGCCAACCCGCGAGGGGGAGCUAAUCUCAUCAAAUCCGAUCUCAGUUCAGAUUGCAGGCUGAAACUCGCCUGCAUGAAGGAGGAGUUGCUAGUAACCGUGGGUCAGCACACCACGGUGAAUACGUUCCCGGGUCUUGUACACACCGCCCGUCACACCACGAAAGUCGGCAACACCUGAAGCCGCUGGGCUAACGCGCAAGCGGGGCAAGCGUCGAGGGUGGGGUUGGUGAUUGGGGUGAAGUCGUAACAAGGUAACC
rnacentral:rRNA from 1 species